rnacentral:rRNA from 1 species
UACGUAGGGGGCAAGCGUUGUCCGGAUUUAUUGGGCGUAAAGAGCGUGUAGGCGGCUAGGUAGGUCCGUUGUGAAACUCGAGGCUCAACCUCGAGACGUCGGUUGAAACCGUUUGGCUAGAGUCCGGAAGAGGAGAGUGGAAUUCCCGGUGUAGCGGUGAAAUGCGCAGAUAUCAGGAGGAACACCGGUGGCGAAGGCGG